ACCGGAGGAAGGUGGGGAUGACGUCAAAUCAUCAUGCCCCUUAUGACCUGGGCUACACACGUGCUACAAUGGAUAGAACAAAGGGCAGCGAAGCCGCGAGGUGAAGCCAAUCCCAUAAAUCUAUUCUCAGUUCGGAUUGCAGGCUGCAACUCGCCUGCAUGAAGCCGGAAUCGCUAGUAAUCGCGGAUCAGCAUGCCGCGGUGAAUACGUUCCCGGGCCUUGUACACACCGCCCGUCACACCACGAGAGUUUGUAACACCCGAAGUCGGUGGGGUAACCUUUUGGAGCCAGCCGCCUAAGGUGGGACAGAUGAUUGGGGUGAAGUCGUAACAAGGUAGCCGUAUCGGAAGGUGCGGCUGGAUCACCUCCUUU
rnacentral:ncRNA from 1 species